UCAUACUUAGAGUUCUGUCCAGUAAAGAUGAUGAAUUUUUAUUACCUAACUUCUUUUUCUGCCAUUGACUUUACAGCCUAAUCUCUCUCUUGGAUUCAGAGAAGUAGUCAUCGAGGUGCCUAGCACGAUGGUGUAAGGCUGUGAAUAUUUUUGGGACAGAUGUUCUGGACGCUUUGCAUGCCAUGGUGAAAUUUCAUGGUGAAUGUUUGGAGAAUGACAAUAAUUCAAGGAACAAGAAUUGAUGAAGACAAAAGGUCACAAAGAAGUUGAGGUUCCUGUGGAGCAGGAAGCAAGUUCAGUGACAAUAUACAGAUAAAAUUCAGACUGUUGUUCUGCAAGUAAGUAUUUUACAAGGACCGUUUUUAGCAAAAUAGGGGAAAAGAUUUUAUGGAUUAAUUCUUCUUCAG
rnacentral:lncRNA from 1 species